rnacentral:snoRNA from 1 species
AUAUGAUGAUCUCCAGAUGACGAGUCCGACUCGUGCUUGAGCUCGGUUUCCGGGUUUGAGUACUUUCCGUGACGAUACCAUCUUUUUUUUAACCAUUCAUGCCUUCCUGAUC